UAAAUUUAUGUAAGUCCACUUUAUAUUCAGUCCUGAAGUCAUGUAUUUCCUUACUGAUAUUGUGUAGCAUUGAGCGCACGGUUUCUGCAGAGUCAUCUUUUGAGCUUCGAGCUUUGUCCAUCUCUGGUGAAUUCUUUCUUUCUCGCCCGUCACGUUUCUUUUGACUUCUAGUUGUCGCUCCCCCACUCAUUCCAAAACAGAAUACUGUGAAUUAUGUGGCAAUUAGUGAAUUAAGGGAGGCUAGUUUUAAACUUGCUAUCGGGAGCUCGAAAUUAAGCAGCCAUCUGCUCGCGUCGCCACCGGAGGUCUUUCACUUUCUGAAGAAGAUGU